CUCAACUCUUCACCAUAUACAAAAUAAACUAUAACACAGGCCAAAUAGGAAAUAAUUAGAAGAGGGAAAACAUUAGAAUGAAGGGGUGUUAGGGCUCGCUUCCUGUAGAAAGUGGGAUUUUAAUUAGGACUUAAAGGAAGUCAGAGGGGUCAAUAGUCAGAGCAGAGGAGAAAAGUCUAUUCCAAACAUAAGAGACAGCUAGACAGAAUACUGGGAGAAUGAAGAGUCUUGUGCAUGGCACAACCAGGAAGGCCAGCAUCACUGGACCGAGGAGUAUCUGUUGGGGAGGAGGUUGUAAGAAGAUUGGGAAAGUAAGAGGGCCUUUGAAUGCUCUUUGGAUCAAGGUUUGUAUUUGAUCUUAGAGGCACUCAGAAGCCACUGGAGUUUACUGAAUAGGGGUGGGUGACAUAACCAAAACUGCAUUUUAGUAAAUGAAUAGAGAGUGACCUGGAGUGGGGAGAGACCUGAGGCAGACACACCUCAGGUCAUAGCAAUAAUCUAGGUGUAAGGUUUGCACAGGGUGGCAACUGUGUCUGAGAAGAGAAAGGAGAAUAUUUAAGGGCUGUUGCAAAGGAGAAACUGACAGGACUUAGCAACAGCUUGGAUGCAGCUGGGAGAAAAAGUGAGGAAUCCAGGAGUUUUGAAUCUUAGAAUCUAGGAGACAUCAACAAGGCUGUGUUUGAUCAGAAAAAGCCUCAGGCUGGUCAUUUAAUGAGAGUAGGAGAAGAGAAGGCAAAUGCUUCAUUGGCACCUACAAGAUAGCACAAGAACAAAUUCAGUAGACCUUCUGUGUAGACAAGUAAUUCUUUAAACCACUGAGAAGAGGACACUGAUGCUCAGAGAAGAAGGCAAGGAGGAGGAGGAAGAAGAGAAGAAAUAGGAAAAGAGGAGAAAAAAGAGGAGGAAGAGGAAGCAGAGUGGUUCGAUGAUCUAAGGCAAUCCUAAUAAACUUUGGAUGGAAACUGCCAUUGAAAUACAAAGAAAGAACUAUGGAGACUGACUGUAAAUCAACACAUUGCUAUGUUCACUUCCCCCUCCCCCCCCCCCCCACUUGUGGUUUUUCCUUUUUGUUCUGAUUUUUCUGUCUGAACAUGAUUCAUUAAAAAAAAAAAAUGUAAAGAAAUGAAAGAAAAUGGCCUUUAGGGCCUGUGGCAGGCUUCUUUGGAAUCUCCUCAAUAAAGCAAAUCCUGGAGAGGAGAGGGGAAAAGUGGGGGAAAAUAAGGGGAGACAGAGGGAGAGAUCCAUGUGCUUAAGACCAACUCACUACCUUUUUGUAAAUGUUCAAGAGCCAUAUAGAGUUGAGUCCUGAAAAAGAGAUAAUGAUCUUGUACAGAAAUUUAGUCUGGAUCAGAAAUGAAGUAAGAUGAUAAAAUAAUAAGACUUUUUUGCUAUGGGGGUUACCCAUGGACCUGCCCCAAAGUCUACUCCCAAAGAGGAGCUCAGGCUAAUGAGCAGUGGUACUUUUGAAGAAUAAAAAUGCAUCUGUAUACCAGCUCCAGAGUUUACUAGCUAUAUGAGUAUGAGCUCUAUACAAACUCUCUUUGUUUCAGUUUAUUUACCUGCAAAAUAGAAAUGAUACUUGCACAACCCAGCUCACAGGGCUAUGAGGAAAAUACUUCAUAAACCUUAAAGCUCUCUAUAAAUAUGAGUGAUUAUUAUAAGUUUUGAUGUUUAUUAAAAAAGAAAUAAAAACCAGUUCAAACAUCUGUCUUUUAGGAGCCAUGAUUUCACUGAUACAGGUACUCUCAAGAUUGCCUACCUCUACCCCUCUCAUCCUUCAUAAUGUUUAUAAGGUGCUGUGUUGGAAGCCAGCUUUCCAACAUUGAACCUCUUUAAUUUAGUAUGGCUGGUCUCAGACCACAGACACAUAGCCAAGUACUGGGCUCUUAUCCUUAGUCUUUCCAGCUUGGAAAGACAUGGAGUACUUGUGCUUCAUGGGGAAGGCUUGAGGAAUCCAAGCCUCUCACUAUAUCUUCAUAUCAUAAUGAAGUAGCAGGGGAUUUUAGGGGGAUAUCUCUUCACUUAACACCAAAAAAGUAGGAGGUUUCAUAGUCGCAUGUUUCUCUGCCUCAGUUUGCAUUUUGUUGGGUAAACUGCUGUGUCCAUUUGAAUCAAAAGCAUUAGUUUAAGAACAGAGUUAGUAGUUUAAGAAUUGUGCUCCCUGGUAGUUUGAUGGUACAGAGGUUAGAACACUGGCCCUGGAGUCAGGAGAACCUGAGUUCAAAUAUAGUCUCAGACACUUAACAUUCAUGAGCUUCGUGACCCUGAACAAGUCACUUAACCCUAAUUCUCUCUCACAUAAAAAAAACAAAACAAAACAAAACAAAACAAAACAAAAGAAAAGAAAAAAGAAAAAUUAUUGGCUCCUACCUGUGCCAAAUGAUAUUUCUGCUCUGACUCUCCCAAAUCUUUCUACCCUUCAUGACCCAACACCAGGUUAAUUUUCUCCAUGAAGAUUUUCCUAAGAUUAUUAGAUAUCUUGAUCCUUCUUUCAUCUGCCCUUGCAACAUUUAUUAUCUUUACUACCAUGAGGCUUUUAGCUCCAACCACUUUAGAUUAUUCUAAGUUUUCCUUCCCUAACUCAAAUAUAAAGUCCUUGGAAUCUGGAACCAUGAUGUCUUAUACUUUUCUGUCUCUCUCAGCACCUAGUAUGUAACACAUAGUAAAAAGCAUUCAAUAAAUACC